GCAACAAAACAAACAAACAAAAUUCUGGCAAUUUGUGUCCUCUCGUGGUAUUUUACCUGUAUCCUGCCAGGACGUUCAUCAUGGUGGACUUCCCAGCUCCAGAGGGUCCCAUGAUCCCGAGCCUACAGUACCUGCCUUCCGACAACAGUGCCCCUCCUGGAUGGCGUACGAUAGGUCGUUGAACUCCAAGUUGACAGCAGCUUGGCGCGGGAGUUGGGUGAGGCGCUGGGUGUCUGUGUUGUCCACUUUCUUCAGGUUGGACAAUGAGAAGAGGUUGAUUUUGGGCCGCGCCUGGGCUCCCGCUUUGGUUUCCUCCAUUUGGAUGCUGCAGGCACCCCGAUUCUGCACCUUCUGGAACAUGCUAGAGUAAACACAGAACAGACUGUUUCUAACUUUAAACAUGUGAAUCCCGUUUAUAAUAUGAAUGACACAAUAUCCGGAUAGUUUAUGACCCCUGACACAAUGUCCGGAUAGUUUAUGACCCCAUUCAUCAAAUCAAUCCUUUAUUUUCUCUGAAUGAUUUAUAACACCACCAUACAUUUUACAUUACAAAUGUCCCAAUUACCACAAUUGCUUAUGGCCAAUAUCCAUUUUAAAGUCACAGUAUCAAAAUGAUAGACAAAUCCCACCAUCCAUUUCAAAAGUGAAUUUCGCCGCAAAUUUGAAUGUUGUAAAUCCAGGUUACAUUUUUUUUUUAAGUCAUGGUUAGAUUUAAGCUCCUUUUAAACCACAAAACUUUUAAAAUCUUUUACGUGCACCAUAAUCAAUUUCUGUCGUGUGUUUUCAAUGGUUUAAAUGAUCACUUUUAAUGAUACUUUUGUACGCCCAUCGACUUUCCUUGUAUAUGAAAUGUGCGCUAUAACAGUGCCUUGCCUUACAAAUGUGAUACUAUCAGUAAUUGUUUAUGGCCACCACCACACAAUUUACAGUGGAAAACCUCAACAAGAGAUAACGAUUUAUGGGCCCACCGUUCACUUUCUAUGGCUCUUAUCCUGUUCAUCAUCGUUUGAUAGCUUUAAAGUCAACAACAGAAAACGAUUUAUGGGCCCACCGUUCACUUUCUUUGUCUCUUAUCCUGUUCAUCAUCAUUUGAUAGCGUUAACGUUUGAGGUCUAAUAUGGUUGUGUUGUGUUCUUACAUCAACUAGAAUGAAACCAUGAUUCAUUAAAGCUUCAGAGAAGGAUCAUAGCACUUUAAAGGCA